rnacentral:misc_RNA from 1 species
UCUCCGUAGGUGAACCUGCGGAGGGAUCAUUACAGAGUUCUCGCCCUCGCGGGUAGACCUCCCACCCACUGUGAUUGUUACCGUCGUUGCUUUGGCGGGCCGCUGGGCCCCGCCCCGCCACCGGCCCCGGCUGGUGCGCGCCCGCCAGAGGCUCCGCAAACUCGUGAUGUCAACGUCGUCUGAGUACUAUACAACAGUUAAAACUUUCAACAACGGAUCUCUUGGUUCUG